rnacentral:rRNA from 1 species
GGGGAUAACACUUGGAAACAGGUGCUAAUACCGUAUAACAACCAAAACCACCUGGUUUUGGUUUAAAAGACGGCUUCGGCUGUCACUUUAGGAUGGACCCGCGGCGCAUUAGCUUGUUGGUAAGGUAACGGCUUACCAAGGCGAUGAUACGUAGCCGACCUGAGAGGGUAAUCGGCCACAUUGGGACUGAGACACGGCCCAAACUCCUACGGGAGGCAGCAGUAGGGAAUCUUCCACAAUGGACGAAAGUCUGAUGGAGCAACGCCGCGUGAGUGAUGAAGGGUUUCGGCUCGUAAAACUCUGUUGUUGGAGAAGAACAGGUGUCAGAGUAACUGUUGACAUCUUGACGGUAUCCAACCAGAAAGCCACGGCUAACUACGUGCCAGCAGCCGCGGUAAUACGUAGGUGGCAAGCGUUGUCCGGAUUUAUUGGGCGUAAAGCGAGCGCAGGCGGUUUUUUAGGUCUGAUGUGAAAGCCUUCGGCUUAACCGGAGAAGUGCAUCGGAAACCGGGAGACUUGAGUGCAGAAGAGGACAGUGGAACUCCAUGUGUAGCGGUGAAAUGCGUAGAUAUAUGGAAGAACACCAGUGGCGAAGGCGGCUGUCUGGU